rnacentral:rRNA from 1 species
UACGGAGGAUGCAAGCGUUAUCCGGAUUCAUUGGGUUUUAAAGGGUGCGUAGGCGGGCUAUUAAGUCAGUGGUGAAAUCCUGCAGCUUAACUGCAGAACUGCCGUUGAUACUGAUAGUCUUGAGUUUGGUUAAGGUAGGCAGAAUGUGUAAUGUAGCGGUGAAAUGCUUAGAUAUUACACAGAACACCAAUUGCGUAGGCAGCUUACUGAGCCGACACUGACGCUGAGGCACGAAAGCGUGGGGAUCAAACA